rnacentral:misc_RNA from 1 species
UCCGAGUUGACCCCGGCAGUCUCCUACGAGUCCCCGGCAUUACCCGCUGGCAACACAGGACAAGGGUUGCGCUCGUUGCGGGACUUAACCCAACACCUCACGGCACGAGCUGACGACAGCCAUGCAGCACCUGUGCAGGCUCCCGAAGGAGGACCGGCUUUCACCGGCUUCACCCUGCAUGUCAAGUCCAGGUAAGGUUCUUCGCGUUGCGUCGAAUUAAGCCACAUGCUCCGCCGCUUGUGCGGGCCCCCGUCAGUUCCUUUGAGUUUUAGCCUUGCGGCCGUACUCCCCAGGCGGGGUGCUUAAUGCGUUAGCUUCGGCACAGAGCGGGUCAAACGCCGCCCCACACCUAGCACCCAACGUUUACGGCUAGGACUAC